rnacentral:rRNA from 1 species
ACGGGUGAGUAAUGCCUAGGAAUCUGCCUGGUAGUGGGGGAUAACGCUCGGAAACGGACGCUAAUACCGCAUACGUCCUACGGGAGAAAGCAGGGGACCUUCGGGCCUUGCGCUAUCAGAUGAGCCUAGGUCGGAUUAGCUAGUUGGUGAGGUAAUGGCUCACCAAGGCGACGAUCCGUAACUGGUCUGAGAGGAUGAUCAGUCACACUGGAACUGAGACACGGUCCAGACUCCUACGGGAGGCAGCAGUGGGGAAUAUUGGACAAUGGGCGAAAGCCUGAUCCAGCCAUGCCGCGUGUGUGAAGAAGGUCUUCGGAUUGUAAAGCACUUUAAGUUGGGAGGAAGGGCAUUAACCUAAUACGUUAGUGUUUUGACGUUACCGACAGAAUAAGCACCGGCUAACUCUGUGCCAGCAGCCGCGGUAAUACAGAGGGUGCAAGCGUUAAUCGGAAUUACUGGGCGUAAAGCGCGCGUAGGUGGUUUGUUAAGUUGGAUGUGAAAUCCCCGGGCUCAACCUGGGAACUGCAUUCAAAACUGACGAGCUAGAGUAUGGUAGAGGGUGGUGGAAUUUCCUGUGUAGCGGUG